AUUGAACGCUGGCGGCAUGCUUUACACAUGCAAGUCGAACGGCAGCAUGGGUGCUUGCACCUGAUGGCGAGUGGCGAACGGGUGAGUAAUGUAUCGGAACAUAUCCGCAAGUGGGGGAUAACGUAGCGAAAGUUACGCUAAUACCGCAUAUUCCCUGAGGGGGAAAGGAGGGGAUCCGCAAGGACCUUUCGCUUAUGGAGUGGCCGAUAUCAGAUUAGCUAGUUGGUGGGGUAAAGGCCUACCGAGGCGACGAUCUGUAGCGGGUCUGAGAGGAUGAUCCGCCACACUGGGACUGAGACACGGCCCAGACUCCUACGGGAGGCAGCAGUGGGGAAUUUUGGACAAUGGGGGCAACCCUGAUCCAGCCAUGCCGCGUGAGUGAAGAAGGCCUUCGGGUUGUAAAGCUCUUUCAGCUGGAACGAAAAGGUUUGGGCUAAUAAGCUGAGCUCAUGACGGUACCGUAAGAAUAAGCACCGGCUAACUACGUGCCAGCCGCCGCCGUAA
rnacentral:rRNA from 1 species